rnacentral:rRNA from 1 species
UAUUAUUUUGGAUUGUUAAAAUUUGUGCCUGAGUAGUAUUAGUUAUGUUCUUGAAACUUAAAGAAUUUGGCGGUAUCUUAUUCCAUCCAGAGGAAUCUGUCUCGUUAUCGAUAGUCCACGCUGGACCUUACUUAGUUGCUUGGGUUUGUAUACCGCCGUUUAUUGAUUAUCUUUUUAGAGUCUUUAAUUUUCUUGUUUCUUUAUUUUGAUUUAUUUCAGGUCAAGGUGCAGCUUGUUUCUAAGUGGAAUGAUGGAUUACAUUGUUAUUUGUUUAUUGGAUUGUUGGUUUUAAUAUUGAUAUGAAAUUGGAUUUGGUUGUAAUGUUUUGUAGAUUAUUUUCAUGAUAAUUGGUUCUGGGAUAUGUACACAUCGCCCGUCGCUCUCAUUUAUUUUCUAAUGAG